rnacentral:rRNA from 1 species
GGGUGCGAUCGUACCAGCGUUAAUGCACCGGAUCCCAUCAGGACUCCGCAGUUAAGCGCGCUUGGGCUAGAGUAGUACUGGGAUGGGUGACCUCCCGGGAAGUCCUAGUGUUGCACCCUG